UACGGAGGAUCCGAGCGUUAUCCGGAUUUAUUGGGUUUAAAGGGUGCGUAGGCGGCCUAUUAAGUCAGGGGUGAAAGACGGUAGCUUAACUAUCGCAGUGCCUUUGAUACUGAUAGGCUUGAAUGUACUUGAGGUAGGCGGAAUGUGGCAAGUAGCGGUGAAAUGCAUAGAUAUGUCACAGAACACCAAUUGCGAAGGCAGCUUACUAAAGUAUGAUUGACGCUGAGGCACGAAAGCGUGGGGAUCAAACAGG
rnacentral:rRNA from 1 species